UACGUAGGGUGCAAGCGUUGUCCGGAAUUAUUGGGCGUAAAGAGCUCGUAGGCGGUUUGUCGCGUCUGCUGUGAAAACUCGGGGCUUAACCCCGGGCCUGCAGUGGGUACGGGGCAGACUAGAGUGCGGUAGGGGAGACUGGAAUUCCUGGUGUAGCGGUGAAAUGCGCAGAUAUCAGGAGGAACACCGGUGACGAAGGCGGGUCUCUGGGCCGUAACUGACGCUGAGGAGCGAAAGCGUGGGGAGCGAACAGG
rnacentral:rRNA from 1 species